rnacentral:rRNA from 1 species
ACAAGUACCGUGAGGGAAAGUUGAAAAGCACUUUGAAAAGAGAGUGCAAGAGAACGUGAAACCGUUAUAGUGGAAGCGGAUGGAGCCGACGUAUCCAGUGCGUAUUCAGUCUUUGGCGUGUGUAAUUUUGGUUGUGUAGUUCUGCAAAGUCUCCACAAUUAAAUUGUUGCGCAUGUUGAUGGUGCAUUUGCGUACAGAGUGCGCCGAAUCGGUUGAUGGCGUCGUUUGAAGGCGUUGAAGAGGACUAGCUUGCUAGAACCCUGCUGCGUUGGAUGGCGAAUGCUGUUAAUUGUCAAAAGAGUCUAUCGUUGUUGCUAGCAGUGAUUUGAGUUGUUUGUGUUUAGUGCUUGCAUUACGCACUUAUGAUUUAGGUCGUUGUUGGCGAUUGCCCGACUCGAAUUCGGUGUCUAGUCGGUCACCCAUUGGACCCGUCUUGAAACACGGACCAAGGAGUUUAAAGUGUACGCAAGUCAUUGAACGUUAAAUUCAAAGGCGUAAUGAAAGUGGGACAUUUCAUGUCUGCAAUGUGACGAGUUGAGUUUUCGAACUCCGCUCAGCAACAUUGACCCAUGGCGAGAAUUCAUUCUGUUGUGGAGUUUGAGCGUACGCUUUGAGACCCGAAAGAUGGUGAACUAUGCCCGAACAGGAGGAAGUCAGACGAAAGUCUGAUGGAUGUCCGUAGCGGUUCUGACGUGCAAAUCGAUCGUCUGAUUUGGGUAUAGGGGCGCAAGACUAAUCGAACCAUCUAGUAGCUGGUUCC